rnacentral:lncRNA from 1 species
CCCUUCAAGUCAUGUCAUAAGACCGGAUGGCAAAUUCGAGAUGUUAAAGAUUAAGUAACCUAAACAAAAGGUAUCAAUCUGUUUAGACAUACUAAAAAAGAAAGACUUCCACCUAAAAUAGGACAGAUGGAGUAAUUUGUUUUACUGUUUACACUAUUAGUUUAUACUCCUUCAAUCCCAAAAAGAAUGAUACGUAUUCUCAUGACUUAUAGCCACAAAAAUUUCUCUCACUUGUUUUAAAUCACAAAUUUCCAAGUCUUUUUUUUAUUCUUAAACUACUUGCCAGAUAAAUCGGGAAGGAGGGAGUAUAAUUUAAGGCCAGUCAUAGCUUAAAUUAAGCGUCUAGCCAAACAAUUUGCCACAUAAAAUGAAAUGCAGAGGAAAGGGUAAAACAGGAGAAACACUGACAACAGCAAAGCGAUGGCCUUUGGUCGAGGUAACGGAACCAGUCAACUGACGAACAGCGCAUGUUUGAAACAGAUCCGACCGGUCGCAAUGUCUCUCAAUUGCAGACCCUAAACCUAAUUAAAUUCAAAGAAUCUUAAAUAAAAACCAAAGAACAUUAAAUUAAUUUUAAAAAUAAAAAUAGAUUAAAGAAAUGUGUUUGACCUUGAGAUUGGGUGAAUGAUAGUGCAGGUGAAGAGGUUAAGCUU